ACCGCACAUCACUUGAGCGGAGAAGAGAUUACACCGUUCACCUAUUGAUCGGAUUGUUCUCCGGUUUGGUUCAAGACUUCAAUCGAUUUCUCGGCUAAGGGUAAACCGCACAAAGUUUCAUCGGUUUUCUGAGCGGAUUCUGAGUUUUCCUUGAGCGGUUUAAGCUAAACCGCACAACUCAUCAGGAAUUUUUUUUUAAACAGUCAAGUGGUUUAGCUUGCUGUCAUAACACAAGUGGUGACAGACAGUGAAUUGUUCGGACUGUAAAGAUCUAAGCUUCGAUUUACACUGUUACACAGGYAUUGUUGUUGGUAAGGCAGUUACAUUUCAAUUACAUAAGAAAAUUGUGCUUGUUGUUUUUGAGUAGAUUGCAUAUUAGUCUAAGUCAUACUUGGACCACAUAACARCAGUUUCAGAGGGAGACAGACAAAAGAUUUUCUGUGUUUGUUUAGAGUUUGCUGUCAUAAGUCACUAAUGCCCAUAUCUGUUUAUUGAUGCUGUAAUCUGUUUAAGCUGUGUAUUUGGACGAAUUCAUUAAACUGUACUUUCUUCUGUUUGAUUUGUGCUGUGUAUGUUAAGACUCUAGUAGUUUUGUUGUUUAACUUGGCUGUUUAAGCAAAAGCAACAGCAACCUUGUUUAACAGUAACAGCAAUAAGAACAGCAGCAACAAAGAUUUGUUAUUAGCAGGUUCUUAACAGGUUUGAAACAGCAACAGUGUGCARAUUUAAGCAUCAAUUUUUGACAGGUCCAGUUGCAAGUUUCUUACUGUUUUUAAUCAAAAUGUGUAUUUCUUGUUUGCUGUUUUGAGCUGAUUUUGUGCAGAAAAUGAACUGUUUUGAAUAGCAGUAACAGUUUUAAGCUAACAGCAGGUUUAGUUUGAUAAUACAGAUUUAUAGAUUUUUGACAGGUCUUAACARCUUCAGCUACACMGUGUGCAGCAGCUCCACAGGUAUUGAUCGAGGUUAAAACAGGUAGCAGACUUGCUGUUCUGUUUUCUGUUGUCUAUUGAUUGAAAAACAGGUUCAUAACAGCAGUGUGCAGCAGCAGGUAACAGCAUACACAAAGCAGCAAACAACAGGUCUUAAUUUUUCAGAAUUAAUAAAACAGCAGCAACAAAUCAAUAGCAAAAUCUGUUUAUAGUGAGCUGUGUACAGUCGAUGCAAGAAGAAAGGAAACAGCAGAUUUAACUGGUGCAGUUUGGAAUGAUAAAAAACACAGGUUUAACAGCAGCUUAGUAGAUUGAUUUGAAGCAGAGUGUGCAGAUUGAGCUCAAGUGCAAGUGACAGAAUGUGCAGGUUUCAGUUUUAAACAGCAACAGAGAUUUCGGGUUCUUGUUAUAUACAAGUUUUUUGUAGUAGCAGUUUUUGGCUGGUUUUGU